rnacentral:rRNA from 1 species
GAUGAACGCUGGCGGCGUGCUUAACACAUGCAAGUCGAACGGAAAGGCCCAAGCUUGCUUGGGUACUCGAGUGGCGAACGGGUGAGUAACAAGUGGGUGAUCUGCCCUGCACUUCGGGAUAAGCCUGGGAAACUGGGUCUAAUACCGGAUAGGACCACUUCUUGGAUGUUGUGGUGGAAAGUUUUUUCGGUGUGGGAUGAGCUCGCGGCCUAUCAGCUUGUUGGUGGGGUAAUGGCCUACCAAGGCGUCUACGGGUAGCCGGCCUGAGAGGGUGUACGGCCACAGUGGGACUGAGAUGCGGCCCAGACUCGUACGGGAGGCAGCAGUGGGGAAUAUUGCACAAUGGGGGCAAGCCUGAUGCAGCGACGCCGCGUGGGGGAUGACGGCCUUCGGGGUGUAAACUCCUGUCGCUAGGGACGAAGCGUUUUUGUGACGGUACCUGGAGAAGAAGCACCGGCUAACUACGUG